CACGGUACCCAAGUCCUGGGCUCAGACAAAGGCGUUGCUGUGGAGACCGGGCGUUGAGCCCGGUCCCCGAUAAGAGAUUGGAGGAGAGCCGAUCAGCUAAUGUUGACACUGAAACCCCAGGUGGAAGAAGUUAACUACAUCAUGACCAGACUUUACCCAUGACAUAAGCCACCAGAAUUCCAAGAACUGGAUGCCAGAAAUGGAAACAAACUAACCCUGGAGCUGAAUAUUAACUGUACUUAAAACUAUCGAGAUGACGCUGGUCAGACCACUGAUGACCAGUUUCAAGGUGACUGUCAGCUGAUAGUUCUGUUUCUGUAUGUAGCCCCCUCCCUCAGCCUCUAAAAGCUCUUGCCCACUGACUGUCAGUGGCAAGGGAGUUGGCCUUUGGACAGGUGUCCACUCUCCCUUUGGUUGCUGGCAUCCAAAAUAAAGGAAAUGCCCCUUUCCACCA